ensembl:lncRNA
UGGUGAGGGAUCUGGAGCACAGAUGAUCUUUCUGAAUAGUAAUGAAUCUUUUAAGGAAGAUGUAUCUUGCACUCACAAAGACUAGCAUUUCUAUGCCAUUAUUUCUGCUUCAGCUGAUAUGUUUAUGAAAAGAAUGGGUUUCUCUGAGUCAUCUGCAUCCUUGGCCAUACGAGAACUCACAAAGCACGACCUGGCUGACAAAUGGAUUUAUUCUUCAACUUCCUUUCCAGGUUGUAAUUGCAGUGCUUUAGAUAAAUGGAUGAUUGAAUGACGCUGUCUUAAACUACAAAAAUGGCAAUGGAAUGGAACAAGGAAUAUAACUGAAAUUUCAUCUGUUUCAGUUAAGACUGCCUGACAAUUCAGAUGCUUCUUUAGAGGCUCAUUUCUGGUGCAAAUCAAGCUGGAUUAAUUUUUCUUUUGAUUCAGUAUAUUAUGAUUAAAUAUAAGUCUUUUCAUUUAUGUCAGCUUUGUUCUUUGUUUCUUAUUCUAUAUGAAGAUGUUAAGUUUCAUGAGACUUUAAGGCGUAGAGUGCAACUAUUUAAAAGCUGAUUUAUUAUUAAAGAAAUACUUAGUUUACAUUCUUUUAUUUAUUUAUUUUUUUAAUCUCACUGUAAUUUUGAUCUAAGUAUAUUUCUGAAAAAAAAAGUCAAGCAGUUCUUCAAACUGGGAGAAAAAAGACAAGAGGAGAAGAGUAAGAGUAAUUAUCAGAAGUUAUAUUGGAAGCAAUUCAAUUUUCAGUGAACUUUCACCCAAUGCAUUUUAAAAGGAAUUGUCUUCCUAGGUUAUAUCCAGUAUCAUUAAUUUAAUAUAAGGUGGAAAAAUGAAUAUGUACAUUAAUUUGCCUAGUAAUUGCUAUUUCUUCGGUUCUAGCUUUGCACAAAAUUUGUAAUCAAUUGGCACCAGUAAUUUCCCUAAAAUAUUAAGUUGUGCCUAUUGCCUUUCUAUUAUUUUAUUCUUCAGACAGUUGUGACAAAACAUAUUUUUUGCAUAGGAUAGGUAACCUCACUGUAGCCUUCAGAAUUAUAUCUGCACAUACCACCAGCCUCUUGUUAAUGGCACUGAUUCACAAAAAAAAAACCAAAGAAAUAGUUUAAUACCCGUGGAAUCAAUUAAAUGUUAGUAUUUGGCUUUCAGCUAUUAUGCUAUGUUUCAGGGUUCUGCUAUAUCAGCUACAUAACAAUGGUAGUUACUCAUGGGCAUCUGCUUUCUCUGCUAAAUAUGAAUGAUGGUUGACAUAUGAACAAUUUUAUUUUUACCUUUUGCAAUAUAUAAUUUUGGCAGCCCCAGCUUCUUUUCUCUCACAACAACCACUGUAAUAUUUGUGAUAAAUUCUGGUAAACACUUUGGAAACUGGAAUACAAGCCUUUAUGUGCUUUGGGGAAUGUAAAAGUGGUAGCAGUAAGUUAUUAUUUU